UUUAUUUCUAUGCUGUCCCCAGUAGAGCGUAAACCUUUGGAGGAACCUGUCACAGGAAAGAGCUCCUUCUGGAACUGUUCAGCACUCGCUGAAACACAGUGUACGACACGGGACUUGACGACCAGAGCUGCUUUUGGCAAGGUGCCAUGGCAGGCUCUCCACAGAAGCGGUUGAGGAUUUGAGAAGAGGUUGCAGCUCAUCAAGGAGCGACACGUGCAGGGAUGGCUUGAAAAGGGUAUGUCUGCUUUCUCUUCUGUUUAUCAGGUGUCCCAGGCAACGUGGGCUGUGAUGUUAGUGUUCAGAAUCGGAACAAAGCAGGUGCUGAAAUGCUGUGUCUGUUUUUUUUGUGUUGGGGUUGCACCUUGGUGAGUGUAGGGAUGGGUUUAAGUGGGUGCAGCGGAGGGCCUGGCCCCAGUGUCCUGUAGUGUGUUUUGACCCAUCAGCAUGGCCUUUUGGUUCUCAGGUAGCUUACUGAAUAAAUGAUUUUUCCUGCAAGUGGAAUGGAAUUGA
rnacentral:lncRNA from 1 species